GUCGUACGCUUCUUUUUCCACCGGAGCUUGCUCCACCGGAAAAAGAAGAGUGGCGAACGGGUGAGUAACACGUGGGUAACCUGCCCAUCAGAAGGGGAUAACACUUGGAAACAGGUGCUAAUACCGUAUAACAAUCGAAACCGCAUGGUUUUGAUUUGAAAGGCGCUUUCGGGUGUCGCUGAUGGAUGGACCCGCGGUGCAUUAGCUAGUUGGUGAGGUAACGGCUCACCAAGGCCACGAUGCAUAGCCGACCUGAGAGGGUGAUCGGCCACAUUGGGACUGAGACACGGCCCAAACUCCUACGGGAGGCAGCAGUAGGGAAUCUUCGGCAAUGGACGAAAGUCUGACCGAGCAACGCCGCGUGAGUGAAGAAGGUUUUCGGAUCGUAAAACUCUGUUGUUAGAGAAGAACAAGGAUGAGAGUAACUGUUCAUCCCUUGACGGUAUCUAACCAGAAAGCCACGGCUAACUACGUGCCAGCAGCCGCGGUAAUACGUAGGUGGCAAGCGUUGUCCGGAUUUAUUGGGCGUAAAGCGAGCGCAGGCGGUUUCUUAAGUCUGAUGUGAAAGCCCCCGGCUCAACCGGGGAGGGUCAUUGGAAACUGGGAGACUUGAGUGCAGAAGAGGAGAGUGGAAUUCCAUGUGUAGCGGUGAAAUGCGUAGAUAUAUGGAGGAACACCAGUGGCGAAGGCGGCUCUCUGGUCUGUAACUGACGCUGAGGCUCGAAAGCGUGGGGAGCAAACAGGAUUAGAUACCCUGGUAGUCCACGCCGUAAACGAUGAGUGCUAAGUGUUGGAGGGUUUCCGCCCUUCAGUGCUGCAGCUAACGCAUUAAGCACUCCGCCUGGGGAGUACGACCGCAAGGUUGAAACUCAAAGGAAUUGACGGGGGCCCGCACAAGCGGUGGAGCAUGUGGUUUAAUUCGAAGCAACGCGAAGAACCUUACCAGGUCUUGACAUCCUUUGACCACUCUAGAGAUAGAGCUUCCCCUUCGGGGGCAAAGUGACAGGUGGUGCAUGGUUGUCGUCAGCUCGUGUCGUGAGAUGUUGGGUUAAGUCCCGCAACGAGCGCAACCCUUAUUGUUAGUUGCCAUCAUUUAGUUGGGCACUCUAGCAAGACUGCCGGUGACAAACCGGAGGAAGGUGGGGAUGACGUCAAAUCAUCAUGCCCCUUAUGACCUGGGCUACACACGUGCUACAAUGGGAAGUACAACGAGUCGCGAAGUCGCGAGGCUAAGCUAAUCUCUUAAAGCUUCUCUCAGUUCGGAUUGUAGGCUGCAACUCGCCUACAUGAAGCCGGAAUCGCUAGUAAUCGCGGAUCAGCACGCCGCGGUGAAUACGUUCCCGGGCCUUGUACACACCGCCCGUCACACCACGAGAGUUUUAACACCCGAAGUCGGUGAGGUAACCU
rnacentral:rRNA from 1 species